UCACAGGCUAAAGGAGCAGCAGAGCCUACCAAGUCGUACUUGGUCUCUUGAAGCAGAGUACAGAGGAGAAAAGAUCGUUUCAUAACUGGAACAAGUUCUUUGCCUGCUUCAGAAAUAGUCCCUUGGAUGUGCCCAAAUUACUCUUCAGUACCUCCUUGAGAUCUCAUCCACUCACAUUUCAGCUACCAUCAAUGAAGUAACACGUCCCAAGGCGAGAUUUUAUUGAGAAUAUUGCCUGGCCUUCCUGUCCUCAUUCCUGGCUUUCAUGCUCUAAGGCUUUGGGAGUCCCCAACACCAUGUGAGAGAUGUAUUUCCUUACCCGUCAAUUCUGCAGGCCCACACUGGGAAGGCGGUCUCCUGGUCUAUAUUUAAGAGAGAAGAUCAGACAAAUA